CCUACGGGUGGCAGCAGUAGGGAAUAUUGCUCAAUGGGGGAAACCCUGAUGCAGCAACGCCGCGUGGAGGAUGAAGGUUUUCGGAUUGUAAACUCCUUUUAUUAGAGAAGAUAAUGACAGUAUCUAACGAAUAAGCACCGGCUAACUCCGUGCCAGCAGCCGCGGUAAUACGGAGUGUGCAAGCGUUACUCGGAAUCACUGGGCGUAAAGAGCGCGUAGGCGGGGUAGCAAGUCAGAUGUGAAAUCCUAUGGCUUAACCAUAGGACUGCAUUUGAAACUGUUAUUCUAGAGUAUGGGAGAGGGAGGUGGAAUUCUUGGUGUAGGGGUAAAAUGCGUAGAGAUCAAGAGGAAUACUCAUUGCGAAGGCGACCUGCUAGAACAUAACUGACGCUGAUGCGCGAAAGCGUGGGGAGCAAACAGGAUUAGAUACCCUUGUAGUC
rnacentral:rRNA from 1 species